rnacentral:rRNA from 1 species
AUAUUCCGGUACCCGCUGUGGAACGUCCAGUAUCGAAUCCAUUAAUGCUAAGGCCGUGAAGCCGCCCUGAUCUCUUCGGAGUUGAGGGGAGUGGUGGAGCCGUCGAACCGAGGUGGUAGUAGGUAAGCGAUGGGGUGACGCAGGAAGGUAGUCCAGCCCGGGCGGUGGUUGUCCCGGGGUAAGGGUGUAGGGCGUUGUGCAGGUAAAUCCGUGCAACAUUAAGUCUGAGACCAGAUGCCGAGCCGAUUGUGGUGAAGUGGAUGAUCCUAUGCUGUCGAGAAAAGCCUCUAGCGAGUUUUAUGGCGGCCCGUACCCUAAACCGACUCAGGUGGUCAGGUAGAGAAUACCGAGGCGUUCGGGUGAACUAUGGUUAAGGAACUCGGCAAAAUGCCCCCGUAACUUCGGGAGAAGGGGGGCCAUUCUGGGUGAUUGGAUUUUCUCCAUGAGCUUGGGGUGGCCGCAGAGACCAGCGAGAAGCGACUGUUUACUAAAAACACAGGUCCGUGCGAAGCCGUAAGGCGAUGUAUACGGACUGACGCCUCCCCGGUGCUGGAACGUUAAGGGGACCGGUUAGUCGCAUUUCGGUGUGGCGAGGCUGAGAACUUAAGCGCCAGUAAACGGCGGUGGUAACUAUAACCAUCCUAAGGUAGCGAAAUUCCUUGUCGGGUAAGUUCCGACCUGCACGAAUGGCGUAACGACUUCUCGACUGUCUCAACCAUAGGCCCGGUGAAAUUGCACUACGAGUAAAGAUGCUCGUUUCGCGCAGCAGGACGGAAAGACCCCGGGACCUUUACUAUAGUUUGAUAUUGGUGUUCGGUUCGGCAUGUGUAGGAUAGGUGGGAGACUGUGAAGCUUGGACGCCAGUUCAGGUGGAGUCGUCGUUGAAAUACCACUCUGGUAGUGCUGGAUGUCUAACCUGGGUCCGUGAUCCGGAUCAGGGACAGUGUCUGAUGGGUAGUUUAACUGGGGCGGUUGCCUCCUAAAGAGUAACGGAGGCGCCCAAAGGUUCCCUCAGCCUGGUUGGUAAUCAGGUGUUGAGUGUAAGUGCACAAGGGAGCUUGACUGUGAGACCGACGGGUCGAGCAGGGACGAAAGUCGGGACUAGUGAUCCGGCGGUGGCUUGUGGAAGCGCCGUCGCUCAACGGAUAAAAGGUACCCCGGAGAUAACAGGCUGAUCUUCCCCAAGAGUCCAUAUCGACGGGAUGGUUUGGCACCUCGAUGUCGGCUCGUCGCAUCCUGGGGCUGGAGUCGGUCCCAAGGGUUGGGCUGUUCGCCCAUUAAAGCGGUACGCGAGCUGGGUUUAGAACGUCGUGAGACAGUUCGGUCCCUAUCCGCUGUGCGCGUAGGAGUUUUGAGAAGGGCUGUCCCUAGUACGAGAGGACCGGGACGGACGAACCUCUGGUGUGCCAGUUGUCCUGCCAAGGGCAUGGCUGGUUGGCUACGUUCGGGAGGGAUAACCGCUGAAAGCAUCUAAGCGGGAAGCCUGCUUCGAGAUGAGAACUCCCACCUCCUUUGAGGGGUUAAGGCUCCCAGUAGACGACUGGGUUGAUAGGCCAGAGGUGGAAGGCCGGUAACGGUUGGAGCUGACUGGUACUAAUAGGCCGAGGGCUUGUCC